UACGUAGGGUGCGAGCGUUAAUCGGAAUUACUGGGCGUAAAGCGUGCGCAGGCGGUUCGUUGUGUCGGCGGUGAAAGCCCCGGGCUUAACCUGGGAAUGGCCGUUGAAACUGGCGAACUGGAGUGUGGCAGAGGGGGGGUGGAAUUCCGCGUGUAGCAGUGAAAUGCGUAGAGAUGCGGAGGAACACCGAUGGCGAAAGGCAGCCCCCCUGGGGCUAACACUGACGCUCAGGCACGAAAAGCGUGGGGGAGCAAACAGG
rnacentral:rRNA from 1 species